GAGGAAUUGGCGGGGGAGCACCACAACGCGUGGAGCCUGCGGUUUAAUUGGAUUCAACGCCGGACAUCUCACCAGAGGCGACAGCUGUAUGAUAGCCAGGUUGAUGACUUUGCUUGACUAGCUGAGAGGAGGUGCAUGGCCGCCGUCAGCUCGUACCGUGAGGCGUCCUGUUAAGUCAGGCACGAGCGAGACCCACGCCCUUAGUUACCAGCUUAUCCUUUUUUUGGAUGAUGGGCACACUAAGGGGACCGCCUAUGAUAAAUAGGAGGAAGGAGUGGACGACGGUAGGUCCGUAUGCCCCGAAUCCUCUGGGCAACACGCGGGCUACAAUGGCUGAGACAAUGGGUUCCGACACCGAAAGGUGGAGGUAAUCCUCUAAACUUAGUCGUAGUUCGGAUUGAGGACUGUAACUCGUUCUCAUGAAGCUGGAAUGCGUAGUAAUCGCGUAUCACUAUUGCGCGGUGAAUACGUCCCUGCUCCUUGCACACACCGC
rnacentral:rRNA from 1 species